AUGGACAUGAAAGCCACCACUCAGCUCCUGGGGCUCCUGCUGCUCUGUUUCCCAGGUGCCAGAUGUGACAUCCAGAUGACACAGUCUCCAGAAUCCCUGUCUGCAUCUUUAGGAGACUCAGUCGCCAUCACUUGCCAGGCCAGUCAGGAUAUUGGUAAUGAAUUAAGCUGGUAUCAGCAGAAACCAGGGAAAGCUCCUAAGCUCCUGAUCUAUGAUGCAUCGAGUUUGCAAAGUGGGGUCUCCUCGAGGUUCAGUGGCAGUGGAUCUGGGACAGACUACACUCUCACCAUCAGCAGCCUGGA